GAUGAAGAACGCAGCGAAAUGCGAUAAGUAGUGUGAAUUGCAGAAUUCAGUGAAUCAUCGAAUCUUUGAACGCACAUUGCGCCCCUUGGUAUUCCAUGGGGCAUGCCUGUUCGAGCGUCAUUUGUACCUUCAAGCUCUGCUUGGUGUUGGGUGUUUGUCCUUGCUCUAGUGGCGGGACUCGCCUUAAAGUAAUUGGCAGCCAGUGUUUUGGUUUUGAAGCGCAGCACAAGUCGCGAUUCAAGUCUAUACGCUAGUUUCCACAAGUCUUUUAUCACUUGUGACCUCGGAUCAGGUAGGGAUACCCGCUGAACUUAAGCAUAUCAAUAAGCGGAGGA
rnacentral:misc_RNA from 1 species